rnacentral:rRNA from 1 species
AAUGCUUUCACAUGCAAGUCGAACGGCAGCACGGAGAAGCUUGCUCUCUGGUGGCGAGUGGCGAACGGGUGAGUAAUAUAUCGGAACGUGUCCAAUAAUGGGGGAUAACGAGUCGAAAGAUUCGCUAAUACCGCAUACGCCCUACGGGGGAAAGCAGGGGAUCGUAAGACCUUGCGUUAAUGGAGCGGCCGAUAUCUGAUUAGCUUGUUGGUGAGGUAAAGGCUCACCAAGGCGACGAUCAGUAGCUGGUUUGAGAGAACGACCAGCCACACUGGAACUGAGACACGGUCCAGACUCCUACGGGAGGCAGCAGUGGGGAAUUUUGGACAAUGGGGGCAACCCUGAUCCAGCCAUUCCGCGUGAGUGAAGAAGGCCUUCGGGUUGUAAAGCUCUUUCGCAAGGGAAGAAAACUUAUGAUCGAAUAAAUCAUGAGGUUGACGGUACCUUGAUAAGAAGCACCGGCUAACUACGUGCCAGCAGCCGCGGUAAUACGUAGGGUGCGAGCGUUAAUCGGAAUUACUGGGCGUAAAGCGUGCGCAGGCGGUUUUGUAAGUCGGAUGUGAAAUCCCCGGGCUCAACCUGGGAACUGCGUUCGAAACUGCAAGGCUAGAGUGUGUCAGAGGGGGGUAGAAUUCCACGUGUAGCAGUGAAAUGCGUAGAGAUGUGGAGGAAUACCAAUGGCGAAGGCAGCCCCCUGGGAUACCACUGACGCUCAUGCACGAAAGCGUGGGGAGCAAACAGGAUUAGAUACCCUGGUAGUCCACGCCCUAAACGAUGUCAACUAGUUGUUGGUAGAGUA